rnacentral:tRNA from 1 species
GCAGGGAUGGCGGAGCUUGGUCAAACGCGACAGACUCAAGAUCUGCUGGCUUAGGCCUACGGGAGUUCAAAUCUCCCUCCCUGCA